rnacentral:sRNA from 1 species
AUCAUUGUGUACUAAAUUCCUCUGUUUAUCCAUUAAAUAAGUACAGAAAAGGCAGUAACAGUGCAAGCUUCCCCACAUCACUCUACAAAGUGCCUCAACUCUGACCUAGAGAGAUCACCUAUAAGAUUGAGAGGUUAAUUCUGUCGCCAUCACCACUGAAUCUUGGUCUCUC